AACGAACGCUGGCGGCAUGCCUAACACAUGCAAGUCGAACGAGACCUUCGGGUCUAGUGGCGCACGGGUGCGUAACGCGUGGGAACCUGCCCUUAGGUUCGGUAUAACUCCCCGAAGGGGGUGCUAAUACCGGAUAAUGUCUUCGGACCAAAGAUUUAUCGCCUUUGGAUGGGCCCGCGUUGGAUUAGCUAGUUGGUAGGGUAAAAGCCUACCAAGGCGACGAUCCAUAGCUGGUCUGAGAGGAUGAUCAGCCACACUGGGACUGAGACACGGCCCAGACUCCUACGGGAGGCAGCAGUGGGGAAUAUUGGACAAUGGGCGAAAGCCUGAUCCAGCAAUGCCGCGUGAGUGAUGAAGGCCUUAGGGUUGUAAAGCUCUUUUACCCAGGAUGAUAAUGACAGUACCGGGAGAAUAAGCGCCGGCUAACUCCGUG
rnacentral:rRNA from 1 species